rnacentral:misc_RNA from 1 species
GAGUUGUUGUGGACAUGCUCUGCACGGCGGGUUCCCUGCAUAUGUUUGCAGCCAACCGUCGUGGGGCUGUCUUUUCACUGUUCCUCCCGAUGUGCUUUUUUUGCAGGGCGGAGGGACGCUCGCUGUCGGUUGCCUGUGUGGUUCUACCCUAGUGCGGUACAAAGGUGGGCUUGACAAUAGUUUUCUGCUUGCGCCGUCGGCACGUGCUGCCGUCGGCUCAGCUGAAAUGUUGGCAUAAUGCUUGUGCGGCUGUGGGCUGAUCCGUUUGGCUCCAGUACUGCACACGCAUUUUUGUCGGCUCUCACGGAUGUGGUGCGCAUUGAGGAAUCCAUGCGUCUUCGGUCGCUGGAUUACUUCGGGACGUCCCUUGCACGGGCCGUCGCUCCUUUGCUUCGCUUCGGGGCGAGCUCCCGUGCCAGCGAGAUGGUUGCCCGGUUGAAAGAGCGAUUGCCGGAUCUCGUCGUGUGAAGGCGCUCCCGUUGAGGGCGUGCCGGAAGCGACUUGUCGGCUCUCGUCGAGGACGUGCUACCUGUGUUGAUCCUGCCA